rnacentral:rRNA from 1 species
GUCUACGCCCAUGCUACCCUGAACAAGCCCAAUCCCGUCUGAUCUCGGAAGCUAAGUAGGAUCGGGCCUGGUUAGUACUUGGAUGGGAGACCAUCUAGAAAGACCAGGUGCUGUAGGCG